AUGUUCAAGAUUAACCAUGUGUUAGCCCACAGUUACACAAUUUCAAGUCCAAAAUUCAGAAGAAGAAAAAAGCAAUUUGCAAUGUUCACAAGAUAUCUCACGGCUUACACAUCAAAGGGAAAAAACAUAAAAAUUGCAAAAGUUCACAAUGCAUCAUGGGUUUCCGCCGGAGAAGAUGGCGGUUUCCGCCGCAAGCCACCACGGUUCCUCGCCGAAAUCUGGGUUUGGUUGGUUUUUUGUUUGAGAAAUUAA